rnacentral:lncRNA from 1 species
ACAUCAUUGCGCUGAUGACUGAGCUUGCCAAAGUACAGAAUGACUCUUAGCACUCUCUUCUCCCCAGAGAGGUUGCCAUUUAGCAGCAGGUCUCCUUGUGCACGUGCGCAGCCUUUUGUAAUCAGCCAAGACUCAACCUGAAAGUCACGUGACCCCCGGAGAACCAUUCUCUUGAGUGAAGGACAGUCAAAAAGCUUUCUUAGAGGUAUGUGUAAAUUAAGGAUUUAUCUUCAACUGUCUUUCUACAAAACUUGUAAUGAAAAGAGCAGUAUUUCUCAAAAUGCAAGAAAUAUAGUCUCCCAACUAAAUUAUCAGGAGCCAUCAGUCUUCAAUUUGUAAAUGUGGAAGCAGAGCAGGGGACGGGAAAAGAGGCAGGGAGCCCCUCUUCAGGGACAAGCCCUGCACCAGCCCAUGAGACCAGCUGCUUGCAAGGUGGCCAACACCUUACCUAAACUCAAACUCCACAAUGAGACGCUUGCAUCUUUCCAUGACUUUUUCUUACAAUUCUCUUCAGUGUCUUAUACACAAAUUGUUAAUACCACAACAAAGAUAUUGAGCUGUAUCUUACACAAGUUCCUUAUUAUAGAAGAGAUGCUCCAUGGAGGACAACACAGGAGGACACAUGCAUAUGUUUUUACACAGUCACGCUGUUUCUUUGUCAAUGCAUUUGACAGUAAUGUGGCAAGAAGCCUCAAAUUUAGCUGCAGUGCUAUGAAAUACAGCAGGCCCUUUAAAGACUUAAAAGUGCAAUAGAAGAUCAAGCAAAGAUACCCCUGUGCUUGGAGGCAGGGGAACUGGAGACACUGCCUAAGACACACUCUUCAUAUUCUGAUUGCUUUGCCUCAGGCUCACUGAAUCAUAAGUGAAUUUAUGAAGUCUAUUUGUUUUUGCCAUGCUGGAACAAGCUUUUGUAAUCAUUUCUAGAUGCAACUCUGAAAUUGUUCAGAAUUGGAAGAGUGAACUACACAUAAACAGCAUUCAUUUUCCAUUACAAGCUGUGACAGUCUAGAGAGUCAGUCUUACAACACAGGUAAUCUAAUGAAUUUUAUAAUAUGGAGUCUGUCAUUUGAGGGCCAUGUCACAGCUUGUUUUGAGCAGACUGUUAAGUUAGAACUACUGCUUUUACAGCUGGAAGAACUGUUCUGUACAGGUCUCUCCAACAGCAGAAGAACUUUGCACAGAAACAAAUUCUCAGUGCAGAACAGUGCAAUGUAGCUGUCAAUACUGACCUUUAAAAAAUAAAGAAUUUCUGUGCCUGAGAGUGCCCCGUAGA